rnacentral:lncRNA from 1 species
AAUACUAUGCUUCAAAACGGCAGUGUCUCUAUGUCGUUUAAACCAAACUUUAAGUGAUGAUACACGUGAUGGUCGUGUGAUCUUGCUUGGGCCAGUUCGGUAAAGCCGAUAUACUACGUGUCAACAAGCUGUGCAUUCUGGGCUGCUGGUUUGUUGCUCUGGUAGCUAUAAAACUGACUGCUGUAACAGUUUUGAUUCGAUUGUGUGAGAAAACAAAUCAAGAGAGAGAUUAGAGAGAGUGGAAAAAUUGUUCUCUGUAGUCUUGUGUGUAAGCUGUGUAAAAGAUCCUCCAUUGUUGUUCAUUAAAAGCUCUCCAGAAAGCUUCUCCCGUGGGUGUAGGUUGUGCCAUUGUUGGUGCAACUGAACCACGUAAUUGUUCUUUGUGUUGGUUGUGAUUGAUUCUGUUCUCUUUAGUUUCUUGAUCCUUUAUGUCACUGAAGAUUUUUCUUGUGUCAAUUGAUUCUUUCUGGGUUUAAUCUUCUCAUUGUGCAACUUGUUAAAACCUGAUUAGAGAUCCUGGGAAGUGGUUGUCACUUGCAAGCCUAUAAGCACGUUCAAUCACUACAAUGGUGCUAGUAAGAGACAUCGUUACCUCACUUAAGUUUACGGGCUUAGAAGCAACAACUAAUUUUGAAAUCUUUUCAAUCAUUCUUGAAACUUCAUCUUCU